AUUGCAUACACUCAGUCUUCAGGAGGAGGCAUCCCCUCUGGGUGCAGAACUUCCGCUGUGGCUGCUUGCUCAGGAUAAACUGGUGGGACCAUGACUCAUUUUGUCACUGGGACCACAGGAGGAGGGGCCAGAAGACAAUGAAGUGUGCGGUGAGCACUCUCACAUUUCGUUAGAUGCACCGUCUCUGAACCAGCUUACUCAGAACUUCAGGAUGGCGGUGUGCAGUUACCAACUGUUAAGUCAAAGAUUCUGGACUGUUUAGGCUGUGCCUCGGGAAAUCAUUGCCUCUAUGAAGUUGUCCAAGGCGAGCUUGAUAAGCCUCUGAAGGCACAGAAGAACUGUUUGGAGAGGGGCCUAUACAUCUCGAUCUACAGCUACAGCGUCACAUGCUACCCCUCAGAAACGGACCUUUUAAUGAUUUCAUCCUGUCAAAAAUCGCAUAUUUCAAAACAUUAGAAAGUUGACUUGCACAAAUAUAAAACAAGCAUGGAUCAGGAUGCUUCACCGUGUGCUCCAUAAGCUACUCAUCUGAUGUUUCAUAGGAAGCAGAAGAAAUUCCCAGCAAAGUGACCUGUGUUGCAAGACUCAAAAGAGGGAGAGAGAGAGUUGGCUCAGCUGGUGAAGAGCUUGAUGGACAUGAAGACCUGAGCUUGGAUCUCCCAACAUCUUUGUGAAAGGACGGGCACAGCCCCUGAAUCUCCAGAGCUGUGACAAUGGAAGCAAUGGCUCCUCAGAGCUUGCUGGCCAGCCAACCUGCUUGAGUUCAGCUCUAGAUUCUCUGUGACCCUGACUCAAAAACUAAGGCGUGGAGUGACUGAAGAAGAGAUCUGAUGUCAACCACUUGUUCUUAUUUACACACACACACACACACACACACACACACACACACACUCUUAAAUAAAAAUUAAAUUAUUUGUUGAAAAUGACAAAAAGAUGGACACCAUACAGUUAGAAGUGGCAGCUACCAAGGGACUUGUCUUGUGGUGCUCUUUUAUCAACAGUUUCUGAUUCCUUUGACAUAGCAAGUGGCAGUCCUGGGAGCCGGUUUCCAGUCACAAAUCCCAGUUCCCUUUCUCCCCGUUUUGUUCAGGUUCUGCCACUGUCUUGAGUAUGCUCUUUUGUGCUUACUAAAGCUGUGCUGUGUGGGAGAGUCAUCUGUUUGUUCCUUGUUCUUCAGUGGGCUGAGUGAUGGACCCCUCCCUCUUUACAGAUAAUAGAUCUGUGAGAAAUCUCACACCACUGGGACCUUAUUUGGGCUUAGAGAUUUGCUGGUGUAGUUGAGAGGCUUGGGAGAAGAACACAAUGGUUAAUUUGGUUGUUGACUGUUAGGAUCUGAAAUCACUGAGGAGAUAAACUUCUGAGUGUAUCUGUGAGGAAGAUUCUAGAUAGAGUUACGUGGGAUUAGAAGACUCAGUCUGACUGUGGAUUGUGGAGAAUUUUAGGACACAUUGCUAAAAAUGUCUCCUGGGAACCCAGUCUUCCUCUUAAAACAUGAAUGAAAAUCUCUUUCUUCGGGUUGGCUGGCCAGCUCUUCACACAUUUCCUUGUACAUCAUUCUGCCGUUCGUGAGCACGGGAGCUUGCACUCACUGAUCUCCAGUACCUGGGCCACCUUCGUGUCUCAGUUGCUUAUUUUCUUGAGCAGUCUAGGGUUGUGUAAUCCUGAGAGUCUUGAGGCCGUUAGAUUAUUGCUGGUAGAGAAGAGGCCACCAAGGGGCAGGAGACACAAGGAACCAUUCAUGUGGCAGGUGGUGAUCAGAGAGAGAAAGCAGAGCUAACGGUGGAAGAUUUGAGAUAUGGAACCUAGUAAUUAUAGAUUUUUUGCACAAAUUAUGAGACUCUGCUUCUUUUUUAUUUUUUGAAAGAUAGUCUCAUUACGUAGCUCCUUCCUAUGCAGACCAGGCUGGCCUUGGACGCAGAGAUUGGCCUGAUUCUGCUGGGACUAAGGCCACUAAACCUGGCGACAGUGAAAACUUUGUGCAUAAAAUCUAAGGUUUCUCCCUUUGGUAUCCUUGAUUUCCUUCUACACAGGAACGAUAUUUAGCAAGCACACAACACUCACAAUAUACUAAAUACAGUUCUAUGUGUUAUGUAAAUAACUUGCUUAGUUUCCGGGCAAACCUAUAAGGGGUAUUGUCACUGUCCACAUCGUACUGAGCUGUAGAGCCAUUCGAACACCUUCCUGCUUCCACAAGGCUGGGCACUGAUGAGUUAUGCUGGGCCUCAGUUAUGGCUGCUGGACGCAAUACAAGACACCCAGUUGAGUGUGAGCCUCAGGCAAACUCAUGUUUAAGUGUAAGCAUGGCCUGCAUUUUUAUUGCUAACUCUUGUCAGCCUCAUACCCUUGUUUACCCCUUAAUACAUACAAUCUCCUUAUUUAAAAAAAAGUCUCUGUAGGGACAGAACAAGAAGCAUAACUCAGAUUAGGUUUCUGUCUGUGUCAAUGUCCUGGAUCUAAGGUUGGGGAGUGCUGCAGAGUACAUGGUAUGUUCUGUUACUUCCUUCCUGUGCGAACACAGCUCUCGUUGUGUGUUAUCCUGCAAGGGAACUCGCAUCGCUAUGAGACGAUGCCUCUCCCCCCGCUAUUUAUUACAAGAGAUCCAUUGCAUUGUCAAACGUGGCUGCAGUUCCAUCCCUGGCCCAGAGGCACGCAGGGUCCCCACAUCUAGCCUUUAAUGUCAACUUGGCUUUCACUGACACUAAUAAUCACUCAUUAUUCCUUCUCAAACCCUAAUUUAAUUAAAAUAUAUGUUUACACCACG
rnacentral:lncRNA from 1 species